UACGGAGGGUGCAAGCGUUAUCCGGAUUCACUGGGUUUAAAGGGUGCGUAGGUGGGCAGGUAAGUCAGUGGUGAAAUCUCCGGGCUUAACUCGGAAACUGCCGUUGAUACUAUCUGUCUUGAAUAUCGUGGAGGUUAGCGGAAUAUGUCAUGUAGCGGUGAAAUGCUUAGAUAUGACAUAGAACACCAAUUGCGAAGGCAGCUGGCUACGCAUAUAUUGACACUGAGGCACGAAAGCGUGGGGAUCAAACAGG
rnacentral:rRNA from 1 species